rnacentral:snoRNA from 1 species
AGCCAUUACAGUAAUUGCUGGUCCCACGAUGAUUGGGCUUUCAUGCUGUUGUGUUAGGUAUACCUCUUUCAAACCUUGUUAGUAUCAGCACGUCACUUGUCUGAUC